CAUCCACUCAACACCUGUGCACACUAUGUAGGCUUAGAUGAGUGUCGAGGCUUUGCUUCGGCAGGAGUCUGGCCUAUGUCUUUAUAAACUCUGUUCAGUAAAUGAAUGUACCUGCGAUAAUCGCAUUUAAUACAACUUUCAGCAACGGAUCUCUUGGCUCUCGCAUCGAUGAAGAACGCAGCGAAAUGCGAUAAGUAAUGUGAAUUGCAGAAUUCAGUGAAUCAUCGAAUCUUUGAACGCACCUUGCGCCCCUUGGUAUUCCGAGGGGCACACCCGUUUGAGUGUCGUGAAAUUCUCAACUCAUACACCUUUGCUGGUGUUUGAGCUUGGACUUGGGGGCUUUGCUGGCUUAUUGUUGGCUCCCCUUGAAUGCAUUAGCUCGAGCCCUUGCGGAUCAGCUAUCGGUGUGAUAAUUGUCUACGCCGUGGUUGUGAUGCCACCUUCGGGUGCUUGAGGGAUUGGCUUCUAAUCGUCCUCUCAGGACAAUUUCUUUUGACAUCUGACCUCAAAUCGGGUGGGACUACCCGCUGAACUUAAGCAUAUCAAUAA
rnacentral:rRNA from 1 species